AACGAACGCUGGCGGCAUGCCUAACACAUGCAAGUCGAACGAGACCUUCGGGUCUAGUGGCGCACGGGUGCGUAACGCGUGGGAACCUGCCCUUAGGUUCGGAAUAACUCCCCGAAAGGGGUGCUAAUACCGGAUAAUUUCUUCGGACCAAAGAUUCAUCGCCUUUGGAUGGGCCCGCGUUGGAUUAGCUAGUUGGUAGGGUAAAAGCCUACCAAGGCGACGAUCCAUAGCUGGUCGGAGAGGAAGAUCAGCCACACUGGGACUGAGACACGGCCCAGACUCCUACGGGAGGCAGGAGUGGGGAAUAUUGGACAAUGGGCGAAAGCCUGAUCCAGCAAUGCCGCGUGAGUGAUGAAGGCCUUAGGGUUGUAAAGCUCUUUUACCCGGGAUGAUAAUGACAGUACCGGGAGAAUAAGCUCCGGCUAACUCCGUG
rnacentral:rRNA from 1 species